CUAUGAUCUACAGUGCCCAUUCCAACUCAGAGAAUCUUUACAUCUGGAGAUCUAUAGCAGGGCUAUCCCUAGUGACAUGCGUGAAGAAGCUUGGAAAUGGUGCUGGGUAGGAGCUGAGUGUGCAGAAUGUGGAAAGGCAUUCUAAACCAAAGGAAGAACACGAGUAAAGAUGAUGAAGCAGGGAUAAGGCUAAAAUGAAAUUUGUGAUCUGAUCCACAUACAAGCACAGUGUAGUACAGCUGGAAUAUAGAGAAGAGCUUGAAGACUUAUGAGCAACUAUCCCGGUACUCUUGGAGGCUCUGCAACCACAGUUUGAGAAACUCCGCGUUCAAAGUUAAAAACUGUCACCUGAAUAGUUAAUAACAUCAAAGAUUGUGAAAGCAAGUAUAAAUAACACAGAGAUUAAAAUAAUGAGGCAGGAUCAGAAACACUGACCUGCUGUGUAAGAAGUCCAACUGCCCUGAGGCCACCAGGCUGGAGAGACCAUGUGUGGAUAGGUUCUCUGAUCAGCAGUCUCUAUCAAGCCCAGCCUUCUAGCCAUCAAGCCCAGCCUUCUAGCCAUGUCCACCAAUGUGCCUGACAUGUGAGUGAAGCCAUCACAGACCCUUCAGACCAGCCCACCUGCCAGCUGAGUACUUGGGUUAUGGUGGCCAUCCAGACAUAAAGAAAUUAGAACGUUCAUUCAUCUGCAGAUGCUCACACAUUCCUACAGGAUGACUGAAACCCACAGCAAACAA
rnacentral:lncRNA from 1 species